GAUGAACGCUGGCGGUAUGCCUAACACAUGCAAGUCGAACGGCAGCACAGUAAGCUUUUGCUCUUACGGUUGGCGACUGGCGGGCGGGUGACACGUGCAUCCGCAUCUUCUUUUUCUUGGGUGAUAUCGGGGGAAAGGUUACGCUAAUACCUCAUAUAUCCUACCGCAUUAAUCAAUAGAUCUUCGCACCUUUCGCGUUUGUAUUAGCUGAUUCCGGGUUGGAUUAGCUGGUUGGUAAGGUACCGGCCUACCAAGGCGACGAUGCGUAGCUGAGCUGAGAGGAUGAUCGGCCACACUGGAACUGAGACACGGUCCAGACUCCUACGGGAGGCAGCAGUGGGGAAUCUUCGGCAAUGGGCGAAAGCCUGACGGAGCAACACCGCGUGAGUGAAGAAGGUCUUCGGGUCGUAAAGCUCUGUUGUUGGGGAAGAAAAGAUGUGGGAUUAACCAUGGCCGUCUUGACGGUACCUAAUCAAAAAGCCACGGCUAACUACGUG
rnacentral:rRNA from 1 species